rnacentral:rRNA from 1 species
UACGUAGGGUGCGAGCGUUAAUCGGAAUUACUGGGCUUAAAGCGUGCGCAGGCGGCUCGUUAAGUCAGAUGUGAAAGCCCCGGGCUCAACCUGGGAACUGCAUUUGAAACUGGCGGGCUUGAGUAUGGCAGAGGGGGGUGGAAUUCCGCGUGUAGCAGUGAAAUGCGUAGAGAUGCGGAGGAACACCGAUGGCGAAGGCAGCCCCCUGGGCCAAUACUGACGCUCAGGCACGAAAGCGUGGGGAGCAAACAGG